GCGGAGGAGUUUCUUACAUGCCUCUAGAUCUGCAUCAGUUGUUGUCUCUGAUUUUCUCUCCAUCAAACUCAAUUUGGAGUCUACUUGCUUAAGUUUGAAUAGCUCCUCAACCUCCACAGUAUUGAGGGCUGCCUUCUCUUCUUUCUUUUCCUUCUCAAAAUCAUCAUCCUUCGACUUGAUCCUCUCAGGAUGCAACUUGGGGUGAAGCUUCC
rnacentral:lncRNA from 1 species